rnacentral:tRNA from 1 species
GCGGGAAUAACUCAGUGGUAGAGUGCUACCUUGCCAAGGUAGACGUCGCGGGUCCGAAUCCCGUUUCCCGCUCCA